CCGCUGGCCGCCGCCCCCUCCCCUCCACUCCACUCCACUCCCACCCAGCCUGCCUGGCCCACGUGCUCCCUGCGACCCAGCGAGGGCUGCGGGGGCGAAGCGAGGUGCAGACCACGCGAGGUAGAGAAACCCCUUUUUUUCUUUCGCGGUCGCCUGGGGACCGCGGUCUACUGCAAGGGAAGGGAAAAAUACAACUUGUUGAGCGCCUACUGUGCGCCAAGUUUGCGGCUAGGUGAUUUCAUUGUGUUUACAGCCGAGGAAUGGAGCGUGACCAUUCAUUCAUUGAUUCAUUCUGCAAAUGUUUAUUGAGUGCCUACUGUGUGCCAGAAACUAUUCUAGGCGCUUAGGAUCUAGCCGUGAACAACAGAUCGAAUCCUGCUCUCAAGAAAUUGCGUCCUAGCGGGAGGCUGGAACCCAAGACUGACUGACUCCAAAGUCUAGGCGCCUUAGGGAACAGGGAAGAAGGGGAUGUCCCUCACCUGUGUUCAGGACCUUCUUGGUAAAUGAUUCCAGGACUUCCAUGCGCAUUAUGCUGGUGCUGCACCUAUAACUCACCAAGUCCAAAUGGAGUCUGUCUUCCCCCACUCCACCCUCCCCUGCAUAUCCCAAUCCACAUUCUGUUAGAUCUGUGCCCACCUUACACACAGCCUUUAAUUUCCCACCCCAACUAGUGGGAUAAGUGCCCAUAAGACUCCAGUUUCUGUGCCAUUCCAUUUUCCGUGCAGCUGCCAGGAAUACUGAUAAAGUGAAAAUCAAUAUUUAUUAUUUCCCGGCCUCAGAUAUUGUCUUCCCUUCAGGAUAAAGUGAAAAAUCUUCAGCAGGGGCGCAGAGAUGCCUUCCGUACACCUUUGCAUUCUGCAGGCCCCCUCCUCUGCCUUCCUUCCACAGGCCACCUGCCUUCAGGAAAUCUGUUGCAGAGUUCCCAGCACCAAUACCCAGGACUCAGAGAAGGUGAGGGACACAAGUAGUGGGAUGGUGUGGAGAAGAACCCCCUCUCAGCUCUUUGAUUGGGGUUGGUGGAGGGCAGGGCCUGGCAUAGUUUCCUGACACCCAGCGCCUCUCCCCACUGCUUACUCCACGCACAAAAUUGGCCAGACAGCACACCCAGGCCACCAGCCCCAGGCCAGCAUUUGUUCCAUAGACUGAUCUCCCUCUAAAAUGUCUCAGUGUGGCCGGGCGCUGUGGCUCACACCCGUAAUCCCAGCACUUUGGGAGGCCAAGGCAGACGGAUCACUUGAGGCCAGGAGUAUGAGACCAGCCUGUCUAACAUGGUGAAACUCCGUCUCUACUAAAAAUAGAAUGAUUAGCCAGGUGUGGUGGUGCACGCCUGUAAUCCCAACUACUCCAGAGGCUGA
rnacentral:lncRNA from 1 species